rnacentral:other from 1 species
GGUUGCCUGCGAUGUUCGAGUGGCGCAUUAAUUAUAACCGCAAUUAUAAUAAGGGAUUACUUGUACGCACAAGAUAUGUCAUGCCUAAUCUCGCUUUUGCGACAUCAGAUGGAAGACAGAAUAUUGUGGUCGGUUCGCCCACCUGCUUCGGCGGGUUUAUAAUCUGCGUGAGACGGCAUUGCGGGGUAUAU